rnacentral:rRNA from 1 species
GACGAACGCUGGCGGCGUGCUUAACACAUGCAAGUCGAACGGAAAGGCCCUGCUUUUGUGGGGUGCUCGAGUGGCGAACGGGUGAGUAACACGUGAGUAACCUGCCCUUGACUUUGGGAUAACUUCAGGAAACUGGGGCUAAUACCGGAUAGGAGCUCCUGCUGCAUGGUGGGGGUUGUAAAGUUUCGGCGGUUGGGGAUGGACUCGCGGCUUAUCAGCUUGUUGGUGGGGUAGUGGCUUACCAAGGCUUUGACGGGUAGCCGGCCUGAGAGGGUGACCGGCCACAUUGGGACUGAGAUACGGCCCAGACUCAUACGGGAGGCAGCAGUGGGGAAUAUUGCACAAUGGGCGGAAGCCUGAUGCAGCAACGACGCGUGCGGGAUGACGGCCUUCGGGUUGUAAACCGCUUUCGCCUGUGACGAAGCGGGAGUGACGGUAAUGGGUAAAGAAGCACCGGCUAACUACGUG